rnacentral:rRNA from 1 species
CCUACGGGAGGCAGCAGUGAGGAAUAUUGGUCAAUGGACGAGAGCCUGAACCAGCCAAGUAGCGUGAAGGAUGACUGCCCUAUGGGUUGUAAACUUCUUUUAUAAAGGAAUAAAGUUAAGUACGUGUGCUUUUUUGUAUGUACUAUAUGAAUAAGGAUCGGCUAACUCCGUGCCAGCAGCCGCGGUAAUACGGAGGAUCCGAGCGUUAUCCGGAUUUAUUGGGUUUAAAGGGAGCGUAGACGGAUUGUUAAGUCAGUUGUGAAAGUUUGCGGCUCAACCGGAGAAUUGUAAUUGAUACUGGCUGUCUUGAGUGCAGUUGAGGUAGGCGGAAUUCGUGGUGUAGCGGUGAAAUGCUUAGAUAUCACGAAGAACUCCGAUUGCGAAGGCAGCUUACUAAACUGUCACUGACAUUGAUGCUCGAAAGUGUGGGUAUCAAACAGGAUUAGAUACCCUGGUAGUC